UACGUAGGGGACCAAGCGUUGUUCGGAUUUACUGGGCGUAAAGGGCGCGUAGGCGGCGUGGUAAGUCACUUGUGAAAUCUCUGAGCUUAACUCAGAACGGCCAAGUGAUACUGCUGUGCUAGAGUGCAGAAGGGGCAAUCGGAAUUCUUGGUGUAGCGGUGAAAUGCGUAGAUAUCAAGAGGAACACCUGAGGUGAAGACGGGUUGCUGGGCUGACACUGACGCUGAUGCGCGAAAGCUAGGGGAGCGAACGGG
rnacentral:rRNA from 1 species